rnacentral:rRNA from 1 species
UACAGGGGGUGCAAACGUUGCUCGGAAUCAUUGGGCGUAAAGCGCACGCAGGCGGUUCGUUAUGUCGGAUGUGAAAGCCCUUGGCUUAACCGAGGAAGUGCAUCCGAAACUGGCGAGCUAGAGUACUAAAGAGGAUCGCGGAAUUCCCGGUGUAGCGGUGAAAUGCGCAGAUAUCGGGAAGAACACCCGUGGCGAAGGCGGCUCUCUGGGACGGUACUGACGCUGAGACGCGAAAGCGUGGGGAGCGAACAGG